rnacentral:rRNA from 1 species
CCCUUAGAUGUCCUGGGCCGCACGCGCGCUACACUGAGUGUCUGAGAUACGAGUCUGCCUGGUCCGGCAAGGUCUAGGUAAUCGCUAAAAGACACAUCAUGCUUGGGAUAGAUUAUUGCAAAUAUUAAUCUUGAACGAGGAAUUCCUAGUAAGCGCAAGUCAACAGCUUGCGUUGAUUACGUCCCUGCCCUUUGUACACACCGCCCGUCGCUAUUACUGAUUGGAUGUUUAAGCGAGGUUCUCGAACUGCUAGCGACUUAGCUUCGGUGAGGUCGCAGUGUGGGAAGUGAACCUAGCUUUGGUGUCUAGAGGAAGUAAAAGUCGUAACA